AUGGAAGAGGAUAAGUCUUGUGAGCAAAAUCAAUGACGUCUUAAUCCUAUAAUGCAAGAGGUUGUAAGAAAGGAAGUGUUGAAAUGGCUUGAUGCAGGUAUCAUCUUUCCAAUUAGUGAUAGUUCUUAUGUGAGCCCUUUGCAUGUGGUAGGAAAGAAGGGUGGUAUGACCAUAGUGAGGUCCGAUACUAAUGAGAUAAUUUCCAUGAGGACUACCACCGAUUGGAGAGUAUGUGUUGACUAUAGAAAACUCAAUGACAAUACCCGUAAAGACCACUUUCCACUCCCUUUCAUUGAUCAGAUGCUUGAUAGACCAGCGGGACACAAGUAUUAUUUUUUUCUCGAUGGUUAUUCGGGGUACAAUCAAAUUUUGAUAGCCCCGAAAGAUCAAGAGAAAACAAUAUUUACGUGUCCAUAUGGCAUCUUCGCAUUUAGGAUGAUUCCAUUUGGUUUGUGCAAUGCUCCUGCCACAUUCCAAAGAUGUAUGAUGGCCAUUUUCGGUGGGUUGAUAGAGAACAUCAUGGAGGUUUUCAAGGAUGAUUUCUCUGUUUAUGGUUCUUCAUAUGAUUUGUGCUUGACUAAUCUAUCAAUUGUUUUGCAGAGGUGUGAGGAGACAAAACCUUGUGCUUAAUUGGGAGAAAUGCAAUUUUAUGAUUACCGAUGGAAUUGUAUUGGGACACCACAUUUCGGAGCAUGGAUUGAGAGUGGAUAGAGCAAAAGUUGUAGCCAUAGAACAUCUUCCUCCUCCCAAUAGUGAGAAGGGAGUUAGAUCGUUCUUAGGCCAUGCUGGCUUCUAUCACCGCUUUAUUAAGGAUUUUUCAAAAAUUGCUAAGCCACUUUGUAAGCUUCUUGAAAAGGAUACUAAAUUUAAAUUUGAUGAAGUGUGUCUUUCUUUGUUUCAGGUACUCAAGGAGGUUUUGAUUCCAUCCCCCAUACUUGUAGCUCCAGAUUGGAGUGUACAUUUUAAGUUGCAUUGUGAUGCAAGUGAUCAAGCUAUAGGAGUGAUGCUUGGGCAAACCAAAGAGAAGAAAUUUAGAGCCAUUUACUAUGCCUCUAAGACUUUGAAUUACUGUCAAGUGAAUUACACAACCACAGAGAAGGAAUUUCUAGCGGUGGUCUAUGCCUUUGAGAAGUUUCACCCCUACUUAGUUAGAACUCGAAUAGUAGUAUACACGGAUCAUGCUGCCAUCAAGUAUCUCAUUUGCACAUGUUCUAUCUUUAAUUGCUUUCCUAGUUGUUAGUUUGUAGUAUAAUCAACCCUCUCCUUCUUUGAUUCGUCCUACUAGAGUAAAGCAUUUCUUAAACACGGCUACCCACUUUCGCCCUUGGGUUUGAUAUCUUAUAAAUUUUACACUUUGUCGCUUACUGCUACACACGAUAGAGUACACUUGUUCUAAAUCAAUUUAACCAAAAUUGAAACUAAGUUCAAUGGACAACAGGUGAAUAUUCCUGUACUACUACCCCUUGUUGGUCCAGAGGGAUGUAGCAGGCCAGGUUAGCUGAAAGAUGAUUAUCGGUUCAAGAUCGUAAGAUGCCCCUGCUUUUUUAGGGUAAGAAGGGAUAGAGAAAAUACCUCGAGCCAAUGUUCGAGCACCAGGCGCUACGUCGCUGAAGUAACCAACAUCAUACUCCCAGGAAAAGCUCGAACGACCUUUAAAUAUAAACAAAAGGGUACAUGUACCCGAAACCGACACAGGUGGGUAGGUAGGGAAUACCUAGGGGCACGAAACAACUCUCUCUAAGGAACUCGACAAAAUAGCCCCUUAACUUUGGUAGAAGGGGUGCCUCCUCACAAAGGAGGUCGCAGUGACCAGGCCCGGGAGACUGUUUACCAAAAAUACAGGUAUCUGUAGAGUGGUAAGACCAUGUAUGGGGGCUGACGUCUGCCCAGUGCCAGAAGGUCAAGGAAGUUUGUGACCUAAUGGCAGGGGAGCCGAUGAUCGAAGCCCUAUUGAACGGUGACCGUAAUUAUAAUGGUCCUAAGGUAGUGAAAUUCCUUGUCGGGUAAGUUUCGACCCGCAUUAAAGGCGUAACGAUCUGGGGACUAUCUCGGAGAGAGGCUCAGUGAAAUAGACAUGUAUGUGAAGAUCUGGACUACCUGCACCUGGACAGAAAGAUCCUAUAAAGAUUCACUGUUCCCUGGGAAUGGGUUUGGGCCUUUCCUGCACAGCUUAGGUGGAAGGCGAAGAAGGCCUCCUUCUGGGGGGCCAGAGCCAUCAGUGAGAUACCACUCUGGAAGAGCUAGAAUUCUAACCUUGUGUCAGGACCUACGGGCCAAGGGACACUCUCAGAUAGAAUGUUUCUAUGGGGCGUAGGCCUCCCAAAAGGUAAGGGAGGCGUGCAAAGUUUUCUCGGGCUAGACGGAGAUUGGCCCUCGAGUGCAAAGGCAGAAGGGAGCUUGACUGCAAGACCUACCCAUCGACCAGGAUAAAAGUUGGCCUUAGUAAUCCGACAGUGCCGAUUGGAAGGGUCGUUGCUUAACGGAUAAAAGUUACUCUAGCAAUAACAAGUUGAUCUUCCCCAAGAGCUCAUAUCGACGGGAAGAUUUGGCACCUCGAUGUCAGCUCUUUGCCAUUUGGGCUGUAGUAUGUUCCAAGGGUUGGGUUGUUCGCCCAUUUAAGCGGUUUGUGAGCUGGGUUCAGAACAUCGUAAGAUAGUUCGGUCCAUAUUCGGUGUGAGCGUUAGAGCAUUGAGAGGACCUUUUCCUAGUAUGAGAGGACCGGGAAUGACGUACAUCUGGUGUACUAGUUAUCGUGCCCACGGUAAACGCUUGGGUAGUCAAGUACGAAGCGGAUAACUGCUAAAAGCAUCUAAGUAGUAAGCCCACCCCAAGAUGAGUGCUCUCCUAUUCUGACUUCCCCAGAGCUUCCGGUAGCACAGUCGAGGUAGCGACGAGUUCUCUGCCCCUGCGGGGAUGGAGUGACAGAAGUUUUGAGAAUUCAAGAGAAGGUCACAGCGAGAUGAACUGUUUAUCAUUACGAUAGGUGUCAAGUAGAAGUGCAGUGAUAUAUGCAGCUAAGGCAUCCUACAUGACUUGAUCAAUUCGA
rnacentral:rRNA from 1 species